UGGGGCAGAGAGGCCCGCCUGGGCUUCAAUGAAUACUCCACGUACGCCAGUGGCCCACC
rnacentral:snoRNA from 24 species